rnacentral:rRNA from 1 species
UACGUAGGGUGCGAGCGUUGUCCGGAAUUACUGGGCGUAAAGAGCUCGUAGGUGGUUUGUCGCGUUGUUCGUGAAAUCCCGUGGCUUAACUGCGGGCGUGCGGGCGAUACGGGCAGACUGGAGUACUGCAGGGGAGACUGGAAUUCCUGGUGUAGCGGUGGAAUGCGCAGAUAUCAGGAGGAACACCGGUGGCGAAGGCGGGUCUCUGGGCAGUAACUGACGCUGAGGAGCGAAAGCGUGGGGAGCGAACAGG